GCUUUGAUUUGCGGCGGGUGACUUGAUUGGGCCUGAGCGUACGCGGAGAGUGAGCGGCCUUCGUGGAAGUCUUAUCUCUGCUUUCCUGUCCCGAGCGACGGGCUGUGACUUCCGCUCAGCGCGACCUCCGGAGACUCCUUUUCCCGCUCAUGCAUGGGCUUCCUCCUGCUUCAUUAGCGCGUCCGGUGGAGUAGAGUAGAGGGGUAAGAGCCGUGUUGGUCCGGAAGAGGUUGGCCUAGGCUCGUCCGUUUGAAAGGGAUGUCGGCUCGUUCAGUCGGAUUGGCUUUCCCGUGGAGCUCCGUUUAGGAUUUGGAGCUCUGCCCCCUUUUGCCCUUCAUCAGGCUUUGGCUGUGACUUCAAGGAAGCUGCUUCGCGCAACUUUCCUUGUUGAGAAUCAAGCGUGUAGGCUACUUCCCUGUAAUGUAAGUUCCUGCCGCUUGUGUAAAAUGGGCGGUUCUUUUCACCCGUAGUACUGUAUAUAUUUUCUUCGCUAAUGAGAUAAUUUAGUAUGGUACUGCAAAUAAUGAGCUUCCCUCUAAAAGUGGUUAAAGGUAAUUCAUGAGUCUCGCUGACUAAGCAAUGGUGUGCUCAGUUUUGGAUUUUUUUUUUUUGUCAAAGAACGGUGUCUUAAUUCCAACAGCCAGUAAAUAGAUUGCUCCUAACUGAUAUUUUCAUAUCCUACCACAAGCUGUCAAGCAGGAACUAGUUGGAUUGGGAUUAAAGCAUAGUUGAAAGAAGCACAGAAGCGGAGAUCAAUUAGUACCUGCUGCCUUAAAGCUUUUUGAGGCCAAAACAAUUCUAUAUGGGGCACAGGAAUCUUCACAAAGCCCCACUAGAAAUCAUACAAACAAAAUUCCUGCAAGCCAUUUCAGCUUCUCCCAAAGGAACAGUAAACGACCAGUUAAGGAUUGAAACAGGUAUGCCUCAAAUUCAGAUAAGAGCCUUGAAACUGAUGAUUAUCUAUUGGCUAAAAAUGCAUUUCGUUCCAGAGGGACUAACCCCGUUAUUGUUGACUGAUAAUUUCCCCUCCCCCUGGAAAGAGGCGAUAGACCACAAGCUGGGCUCUUAUGGGCUCUCCCUGAUAUUCUUAAUAUCCCUAGGCUUUGACUCAGCUAAGCAAGUAGUUAUUAAUAGAAUAAAAGACAAAGAUUUCCACUUAAAACUAAAUAGGAUGCCUCUCCAGAGUAGGAACAGAAUUAAAUAGGUUUAUGGGAACCAGCAAGAUAUUUUAAGGACCUGAUCUUCCCAAAACAUAGAAUAGCGUUCUUCAGAAGCAGAUUUAACAUCCUCCCCUCAGCACUCUUCCAGGGCAGGUAUAAGAAGAUCCCAAUAAUGGAAUGAGUAUGUAUAUGUGGUAAAGGAGAAAUCGAAGAUAUCAGAUGUUUUAUUGUACUGUGAACUAUGCAGAGUUUAUAGGUCAAUGAAUAUUCUCCCCUUAUUAGAGAGAUUAUCAGGGAGGGUAGACAAUUUUUAUGUAGGCCAUCUCCUCCGGGACUCAAACCCAGCUACUACACAUGCAGUGGCAAAUUCUGUGCUGCUGCAAUGACCACAAGGAAAAAUUUGGUUGCAGAAUCAAAGUUGUCUACUUGCUCCUAUUUUUUGUAGCUAUCUCUUACAAUUUUUAGAGAAAAUAUAUUUACACAUAUACUUAUCUGCUCUUCAAUCAUGUAAACAAGAGCAUGAUCCAAACUGUUUGAGCCGAUGUAUUGUAUUAUCAUGGAUGUUACUAUCCACUAUUAUUAUUAGUACUACUUGUUAACACUAUUGUAAACAGUGAUGAUUCUUGUCUACUGCUGGUCUAUGACUGUAAUAAAGCGUUGUUGUUGUUGUUGUUAAACAUUGCACAGUCAGCCAGAUAUUCAGUCUGG